CCUACGGGCGGCAGCAGUGAGGAAUAUUGGUCAAUGGGCGGAAGUCUGAACCAGCCAAGUAGCGUGAAGGAUGAAGGCCCUAUGGGUUGUAAACUGCUUUUACAGGGGAAUAAAAUGUUCCACGUGUGGGGGUUUGCAGGUACCAUAUGAAUAAGGGUCGGCUAACUCCGUGCCAGCCGCCGCGGUAAUACGGAGGGUCCGAGCGUUAUACGGAUUUAUUGGGUCUAAAGGGAGCGUAGAUGGGUUGUUAAGUUAGUUGUGAAAGUGUGCGGCUCAACCGUAAACGUGCAUUUGAUACUGGCCGUCUUGAGUACAGUUCAGGCAGGCGGAAUUCGUGGUGUAGCGGUGAAAUGCUUAGAUAUCACGAAGAACCCCGAUUGCGAAGGCAGCCUGCUAGACUGCGACUGACAUUGAUGCUCGAAAGUGCGGGUAUCAAACAGGAUUAGAUACCCCUGUAGUC
rnacentral:rRNA from 1 species